GGUCUGUUAGCGCAAUGGUAGCGCGUGCCCCUCCUAAGGGCAAGGUUGCGGGUUCGGUACGUUUACUCGGCU